AGCAUGUCAUGCUGCGACCGUGUUUUCUUAUUGGCAUUUUGUCAAGAAGUUGUCCAGAGCGCGAAUGCUCACCACUUGAUUCAAUCUAAAACACGCAUUGGGAGGAAUAAUCAGAAUCAAAUGUUGUUUUAAACCAAGCCUGCAAGACCUAGUUUUUCACCUUAUUGAGCUUGUCUCUGACCAAUCGCACUGUCUAAUUCAUCGAAUGGGAUUGAAAAUAAUCCUGACAUCCAUCGAAAUAGAAGAAAAUUGUGAGUUAGCCCCAGGACAAAAUGACAAUCUGAGACUUUCGCAUAUGGAUGCUGGAUCAAGCUUAUAUGCACUGAACAUAUAACGCAAGAUGAAGGCAAAUGUCUAAUUUCUCCCGAAGAAAAUGAAAGCAGAACUAAAUUGGAGGGACCAUAUUGAUAUUUAGCAGUGUGAUAAAGUGACAUACCAGCUCCGAGGAAACCCUUGUAUAUGGAG